AUUGAACGCUGGCGGCAGGCUUAACACAUGCAAGUCGAGCGGAGUGAUGGUGCUUGCACUAUCACUUAGCGGCGGACGGGUGAGUAAUGCUUAGGAAUCUGCCUAUUAGUGGGGGACAACAUCUCGAAAGGGAUGCUAAUACCGCAUACGUCCUACGGGAAAAAGCAGGGGACCACUUGUGACCUUGCGCUAAUAGAUGAGCCUAAGUCGGAUUAGCUAGUUGGUGGGGUAAAGGCCUACCAAGGCGACGAUCUGUAGCGGGUCUGAGAGGAUGAUCCGCCACACUGGGACUGAGACACGGCCCAGACUCCUACGGGAGGCAGCAGUGGGGAAUAUUGGACAAUGGGGGGAACCCUGAUCCGGCCAUGCCGCGUGUGUGAAGAAGGCCUUAUGGUUGUAAAGCACUUUAAGCGAGGAGGAGGCUCUUUUGGUUAAUACCCAAGAUGAGUGGACGUUACUCGCAGAAUAAGCACCGGCUAACUCUGUGCCAGCCGCCGCCGUAA
rnacentral:rRNA from 1 species